rnacentral:misc_RNA from 1 species
GAAAUGCGAUAAGUAGUGUGAAUUGCAGAAUUCAGUGAAUCAUCGAAUCUUUGAACGCACAUUGCGCCCCCUGGCAUUCCGGGGGGCAUGCCUGUCCGAGCGUCAUUUCUGCCCUCAAGCACGGCUUGUGUGUUGGGUGUGGUCCCCCCGGGGACCUGCCCGAAAGGCAGCGGCGACGUCCGUCUGGUCCUCGAGCGUAUGGGGCUCUGUCACUCGCUCGGGAAGGACCUGCGGGGGUUGGUCACCACCAUAUUUCACCACGGUUGACCUCGGAUCAGGUAGGAGUUACCCGCUGAACUUAAGC